rnacentral:rRNA from 1 species
UCAAGCGUCCAUACCACGUUGAAUACACCGGUUCUCGUCCGAUCACCGAUGUUAAGCAACGUCUGGCGCGGUCAGUACUUGGAUGGGUGAUCACUUGGGAACAUCGCGUGACGUUGGCU